GACGAACGCUGGCGGCGUGCCUAAUACAUGCAAGUCGAGCGAACAGACGCGGAUCUUGCUCCUUUGACGUUAGCGGCGGACGGGUGAGUAACACGUGGAUAACCCACCUAAAAGACUGGGAUAUCUUGGGGAAACCGGAGAUAAUACGGGAUAAUAUAUUGAUCCGCGGGGGUCAAUGGAGAGAGACGGCGGUGCUGUCACGACUAGAUGGAUACGCGCCGCAUUAGCUAGUUGGUAAGGUAACGGGUUACGAAGGCAACGAUGCGUAGCCGACCUGAGAGGGUGAUCGGCCACACUGGAACUGAGACACGGUCCAGACUCCUACGGGAGGCAGCAGUAGGGAAUCUUCCGCAAUGGGCGAAAGCCUGACGGAGCGGCGCCGCGUGAGUGAUGAAGGUCUUCGGAUCGUAAAACUCUGUUAUUAGGGAAAAACAAAUGUGUAAGUAACUAUGCACGUCUUGACGGUACCUAAUCAGAAAGCCACGGCUAACUACGUG
rnacentral:rRNA from 1 species